GUAGGUGAACCUGCGGAAGGAUCAUUAACACGUAUCCAACGUUAAACCCCCGUGCAUUUUAACCCUGCUCUCUUCGCCUUGACAAAGCAAUCUCUGGUAAAUCACGCGAACAGUUUGAUUCAGAGACUUCUUCGAGACGCGUGGAUGGAGCGGUAGAGCAAUUAGACUUGGUUUCCGCAAGGAUAACUGAUACUUACUCAGAUCGUUGACCCUCACGGUCAACGGACAGGUCUCUGAUGUAGGUGAAAGUAGUGCUGCGUAAAGUAGGCACACAAAAACGAACAACUGUUAACAAUGGAUAUCUUGGUUCUC
rnacentral:misc_RNA from 1 species